GAAACUGCGAAUGGCUCAUUAAAUCAGUUAUAGUUUAUUUGAUAGUACCUUACUACAUGGAUACCUGUGGUAAUGCUAGAGCUAAUACAUGCUUAAAACCUCGACUUCGGAAGAGGUGUAUUUAUUAGAUAAAAAACCAAUGCCCUUCGGGGCUUUCUGGUGAUUCAUAAUAACUUGUCGAAUCGCAUGGCCUUGCGCUGGCGAUGGUUCAUUCAAAUUUCUGCCCUAUCAACUUUCGAUGGUGGGAUAGUGGCCUACCAUGGUGGCAACGGGUAACGGGGAAUUAGGGUUCGAUUCCGGAGAGGGAGCCUGAGAAACGGCUACCACGUUUACGGAUGGCAGCAGGCGCGCAAAUUACCCAAUCCCAAUACGGGGAGGUAGUGACAAAAAAUACUGAUACAGGGCUCUUUCGGGUCUUGUAAUUGGAAUGAGUUCAAUCUUAAACCCCUUGACGAGGAACAAUUGGAGGGCAAGUCUGGUGCCAGCAGCCGCGGUAAUUCCAGCUCCAAUAGCGUAUAUUAAAGUUGUUGCAGUUAAAAAGCUCGUAGUUGAGCCUUGGGUUCGGCUGGUGGUCCGCCUCGCGGCGUGUACUAACCGGCGGAGCCUUUCCUCCUGGAGAAUCCUAUGGCCUUCACUGGCU
rnacentral:rRNA from 1 species